rnacentral:rRNA from 1 species
UACGGAGGGUGCAAACGUUGCUCGGAAUCAUUGGGCGUAAAGCGCACGUAGGCGGACUGUUAAGUCGGAUGUGAAAUCCCUCAGCUUAACUGAGGAAGUGCACUCGAAACUGCAGGGCUUGAGUAUGGAAGAGGGUCUCGGAAUUCCCGGUGUAGAGGUGAAAUUCGUAGAUAUCGGGAGGAACACCAGUGGCGAAGGCGGAGACCUGGGCCAAUACUGACGCUGAGGUGCGAAAGCGUGGGGAGCAAACAGG